AGAGCGAACGCUGGCGGCAGGCCUAAUACAUGCAAGUCGAACGAGCCCUUCGGGGCUAGUGGCGGACGGGUGAGUAACACGUGGGAACGUGCCUUUUGGUUCGGAACAACUCAGGGAAACUUGAGCUAAUACCGAAUGUGCCCUUCGGGGGAAAGAUUUAUCGCCAUUAGAGCGGCCCGCGUCUGAUUAGCUAGUUGGUGAGGUAAAGGCCCACCAAGGCUACGAUCAGUAGCUGGUCUGAGAGGAUGAUCAGCCACACUGGGACUGAGACACGGCCCAGACUCCUACGGGAGGCAGCAGUAGGGAAUCUUGCGCAAUGGGCGAAAGCCUGACGCAGCCAUGCCGCGUGAAUGAUGAAGGUCUUAGGAUUGUAAAAUUCUUUCAGCGGGACGAUAAUGACGGUACCCGCAGAAGAAGCCCGGCUAACUUCGCGCCAGCAGCCGC
rnacentral:rRNA from 1 species